rnacentral:rRNA from 1 species
CUUAACUUUGAAUCUUCGCCCGGGAACUACGAGCGUCAGCUUAAAACCCAAAAGACUUGGCGGUGCCCUAUACCACCUAGAGGAGCCUGUUCUAUAAUCGAUAAUCCCCGAUUUACCUCACCAUCUCUUGCCAACACCGUCUGUAUACCUCCGUCACCAACUGACCCCUUGAGGGCAAUAGUCGGUUAAAUGGCCUACCCCCAGUAAGUCAGGUCAAGGUGCAGCGAAUGAGAUGGAAAGCAAUGGGCUACAUUUUCUAUUUUUAGAUUACACGAAAGAUCACUAUGAAAUCUGAUCGGAAGGCGGAUUUAGCAGUAAAAAGAGACUAGAGAGCUCUUUUUAAGCUGGCUCUAGGGCGCGCACACACCGCCCGUC